ACGAACGCUGGCGGCAGGCCUAAAACAUGCAAGUCGAACGGUGUAGCAAUACAUAGUGGCGCACGGGUGAGUAACACGUGGGAAUGUGCCUUUUGGUACGGAAUAGCUUCGGGAAACUGGAAUUAAUACCGUAUGGUCCCUUCGGGGUAAAGAUUUAUCGCCAAAAGAGCAGCCCGCGCUGGAUUAGCUAGUUGGUAGGGUAAUGGCCUACCAAGGCGACGAUCCAUAGCUGGUCUGAGAGGAUGAUCAGCCACACUGGGACUGAGACACGGCCCAGACUCCUACGGGAGGCAGCAGUUAGGAAUAUUGGACAAUGGGCGCAAGCCUGAUCCAGCCAUGCCGCGUGAGUGAUGAAGGCCUUCGGGUUGUAAAGCUCUUUAGUCCACGAAUAUAAUGACUGUAGUGGAAGAAUAAGCCCCGGCUAACUUCGU
rnacentral:rRNA from 1 species